rnacentral:rRNA from 1 species
UACGUAGGGUGCAGGCGUUAAUCGGAAUUACUGGGCGUAAAGCGUGCGCAGGCGGUUUGCUAAGACAGGUGUGAAAUCCCCGGGCUUAACCUGGGAACUGCGCUUGUAACUGGCAAGCUGGAGUGUGGCAGAGGGGGGUGGAAUUCCACGUGUAGCAGUGAAAUGCGUAGAGAUGUGGAGGAACACCGAUGGCGAAGGCAGCCCCCUGGGCUAACACUGACGCUCAUGCACGAAAGCGUGGGGGGCAAACAGG